rnacentral:sRNA from 1 species
GUGACUAAGAUGGAAGCGCUUUUGGGGUCGCGGUCCGGACUUUGGGCGGGGGGUCCGGCCCCAGGACAGUUUUACCGCAUUCCGUCCACUUCCGAUUCCUUCAUGGAUCCGGCGUCUGCACUUUACAGAGGUCCAAUCACGCGGACCCAGAACCCCAUGGUGACCGGGACCUCAGUCCUCGGCGUUAAGUUCGAGGGCGGAGUGGUAAUUGCCGCAGACAUGCUGGGAUCCUACGGCUCCUUGGCUCGUUUCCGCAACAUCUCUCGCAUUAUGCGAGUCAACAACAGUACCAUGCUGGGUGCCUCUGGGGACUACGCUGAUUUCCAGUAUUUGAAGCAAGUUCUCGGCCAGAUGGUGAUUGAUGAGGAGCUUCUGGGAGAUGGACACAGCUAUAGUCCUAGAGCUAUUCAUUCAUGGCUGACCAGGGCCAUGUACAGCCGGCGCUCGAAGAUGAACCCUUUGUGGAACACCAUGGUCAUCGGAGGCUAUGCUGAUGGAGAGAGCUUCCUCGGUUAUGUGGACAUGCUUGGUGUAGCCUAUGAAGCCCCUUCGCUGGCCACUGGUUAUGGUGCAUACUUGGCUCAGGUAAGUAGUAUGUCUAGAGGUGGGGGAAAGGGAAGACAAAAGGAGAUGGAUUAGUAUUUGUCUGCUUUUCUCCUGAAAUUCUGAUAUGUGGGAUGGGCUGGGAUCGCUAUUACUGGGCAGAUGGUUUUCUUUGUAGUCUGGGGGCUGUAGGUGUUGACACUGAUUCUAGUGACAAGAUGACAUGUCUGGGAGUCAGUAGACAUGCAAAGAAAGGACACCCUAGAAC